rnacentral:misc_RNA from 1 species
GGUGGGAAGGGUUGAGCUGCGAAGCAGUACGUGAUGGCGUGUGAGUGGUAUUUGGUUUGUGUGGUUGGCGGGCUCCGUGCUUGUGCAUUGAACCGUUCACUAGCAGACCUCUUCAUUGUUUGCUCCGAGUGCAUGGUGUGCCUCGGGCGAGGAGUGGUCCCUGUGUUGAAUUCCUAAUGACGGUAUUGAUGUUGUCCUUUGAAAGUCUUAUUUCCGCUUUACAUCCCUUAACGUGAUGUCCAGCGGGACACUGAGGCUGUGGGAUCCUUAUCCGCUCAUCAAGCAAAAACAAGCGCGAUGCGACAGGAUGAUGGUCUCAAGUCGGGCCCUAGGAUGCAGAAUGUUGUGUGGGAGUCGAUGUGAAUUCGUCGCACACCCAGCCUGGCGUUGUACGCCGACGACGGAUGACAUUGGAGUGCGAUCUGACCCUUUCUUUAUUGAAAGGGCUCACUCGUACCGAUGUCGACCGAGGAGUGCUACCUGGUUGAUCCUG